UACCAGCACCCCGAGUGGUCGGGACGUUUUAUUGGGCCUAAAGCAUCCGUAGCCGGUUCUACAAGUCUUCCGUUAAAUCCAACUGCUUAACAGGUGGGCUGCGGAAGAUACUAUAGAGCUAGGAGGCGGGAGAGGCAAGCGGUACUCGAUGGGUAGGGGUAAAAUCCGUUGAUCCAUUGAAGACCACCAGUGGCGAAGGCGGCUUGCCAGAACGCGCUCGACGGUGAGGGAGUGAAAGCUGGGG
rnacentral:rRNA from 1 species